rnacentral:rRNA from 1 species
AAACCAACCGGGAUUGCCCCAGUAACGGCGAGUGAAGCGGCAAGAGCUCAAAUUUGAAAGCUUCGGCGUUGUAAUUUGAAGGUUGGGGGCGGGACGCAGGCCAAGUCCGCUGGAACGCGGCGCCGCAGAGGGUGACAGCCCCGUGGCCGCAGCCCGCAGGCCCCCGGACCGACGAGUCGAGUUGUUUGGGAAUGCAGCUCAAAGUGGGUGGUAAACUCCAUCUAAGGCUAAAUACCGGCGAGAGACCGAUAGCGAACAAGUACAGUGAUGGAAAGAUGAAAAGCACUUUGAAAAGAGAGUGAAAGAGUACGUGAAAUUGCCGAAAGGGAAGGGAGCGGGGAGGGACCGACUGCGCACUAGCAGCGCGCGACAAGUGCGCUGGAAUGUAGCCCUCGGGUGUUAUAGCCAGCGCCGCUAGCGCGCCACUGGUGUGUAGUCUCUCUGUCUGCUCC